UCUUUUAAGUCUGAUAUGAAAGCCAUCGGCUUAAACGGAGUAGUGCAUUGGAAACUGGGAGACUUGAGUGCAGAAGAGGAGGAUGGAACUCCAUAUGUAGCGGUGAAAUGCGUAGAUAUAUGGAAGAACACCAGUGGCGAAAGCGGCUCUCUGGUCUGUAACUGACGCUGAGGUUCGAAAGCGUGGGUAGCAAACAG
rnacentral:rRNA from 1 species